rnacentral:rRNA from 1 species
UGAGGAAUAUUGGUCAAUGGGCGCAAGCCUGAACCAGCCAUGCCGCGUGCAGGAUGACGGUCCUAUGGAUUGUAAACUGCUUUUGUACAGGAAGAAACACUCCUACGUGUAGGAACUUGACGGUACUGUAAGAAUAAGGAUCGGCUAACUCCGUGCCAGCAGCCGCGGUAAUACGGAGGAUCCAAGCGUUAUCCGGAAUCAUUGGGUUUAAAGGGUCCGUAGGCGGUUUAGUAAGUCAGUGGUGAAAGCC